rnacentral:misc_RNA from 1 species
AAGUCGUAACAAGGUUUCCGUAGGUGAACCUGCGGAAGGAUCAUUAACACGUAUCCAACGUUAAACCCCCCGUGAACCUUCAUUGUGCUCCCCCAUUCCGUUAGGACGCGGCAAUCCCUGGUAAAUCAUCGCCGAACAGUUUUGAUUCAGGGACCUCUGCAUGUGGCCUGGCAUUCGAAAGAAUGGCGCAGUAACGAUCGCUAGAGGCCGACACGGCCGGCGACCGGGUCACUGGGCUCACGCCCCCCUAUCACCUUUGCAUGAAAACGGGCCUGCGCUUAAUUGUGCGGCCACCAAACUCGAACAACUGUUAACAAUGGAUAUCUUGGUUCUC